rnacentral:rRNA from 1 species
UACGGGGGGGGCAAGCGUUGUUCGGAAUUACUGGGCGUAAAGGGCUCGUAGGCGGCCAACUAAGUCCGACGUGAAAUCCCCAGGCUUAACCUGGGAACUGCGUCGGAUACUGGGUGGCUUGAAUCCGGGAGAGGGAUGCGGAAUUCCAGGUGUAGCGGUGAAAUGCGUAGAUAUCUGGAGGAACACCGGUGGCGAAGGCGGCAUCCUGGACCGGCAUUGACGCUGAGGAGCGAAAGCCAGGGGAGCAAACGGG